AUGCAAAUAUACUGGAUGAUAAAGGAAUAUAAGAGGAAAACCAGUACAAAUAGGUUUUAACCCAGGAUACAGGGAGGUGCACCUUAAACGGUGUUUUUUUGUUUGUUUUUUUUGUUUUUGUGUUUUUGUUUUUGGGGUGGGUUUUUUUUUAUGUUCCUCGCGAUGAGGGGAAUUGGUUCAAAGGAACCGAAUUAAUAAAUGAAUAAAUAAAUAA
rnacentral:ribozyme from 1 species